rnacentral:rRNA from 1 species
GAUGAACGCUAGCUACAGGCUUAACACAUGCAAGUCGAGGGGCAGCAGGGAUUUAGCUUGCUAAAUCCGCUGGCGACCGGCGCACGGGUGCGUAACGCGUAUCCAACUUUCCCGUUACUCAGGGAUAGCCUUCCGAAAGGGAGAUUAAUACCUGAUGGUGUUUGAAGUUCGCAUGUUCUUCAAACUAAAGAUUUAUCGGUAACGGAUAGGGAUGCGUGACAUUAGAUAGUAGGCGGGGUAACGGCCCACCUAGUCUACGAUGUCUAGGGGUUCUGAGAGGAAGGUCCCCCACACUGGAACUGAGACACGGUCCAGACUCCUACGGGAGGCAGCAGUGAGGAAUAUUGGUCAAUGGUCGGAAGACUGAACCAGCCAAGUAGCGUGAAGGAUGAAGGUUCUAUGGAUUGUAAACUUCUUUUAUAUAGGAAUAAAACCUCACACGUGUGGGAGCUUGUAUGUACUAUAUGAAUAAGCAUCGGCUAACUCCGUGCCAGCAGCCGCCUAAUAC